UAACAGUGCACUGUGAACAUUAAGGGUAAUGUUUCCUGCUUUGCGAUUGAGAAUGCAUGGAGUUGAUAGGGAUUGGAGCAGCUGAGCUAUACAACAAGCAUAAUCAUACAAAUCAGCCUCCAAAGGAGAUAAAGGACUUAGCGGGGAGAAGUAUGUUAUUCAAGAUCUCAGCAAAGAAGGAACAGUUUGUGAACCUUCAUAAUGCAUUUCAUGUGUGCUAAGAAUUAACAAUGACCAAUAGGUGGUGGCACAACAUUGCCCUGAACUUCUAAAUACUCAGGAUAAGGACUUGAACUCUGACUUGCAUCUAAGUGAGGGAGAUGAUGACUUUCUUGAGGGGUUUUUAAGUGAUGAAGCUGACAACCCAAUAGCAAAUCUGGCAGCAACCAAUACUGAAAAUGUAACUGAUGGAGCUGUGAAGAGGUGAUUGCUUGAUGUAUUCUCUUCAACCCAAGGUUCCAAAAAUGUGAAAGAGACUUCAGUGAAACUAGAGAAACUAGAUUACUCGUGUGGUGAUGACAUUUUGAAGGGACACUUAAUGACCUAACUGGCCAGAACUAUGGACUUUCAUGGCUGGACAGUUUACAGUAAACAUUGCUUUGUGGAUGUGUUGGAUUGCAAAAACGAUGCAUGUGACACAAGGAUGGUUUUAUGCUCAAAUUAUGAAUUUACUUGAUCAUCUCUAAGACUUAUAUAAUGCUG